rnacentral:rRNA from 1 species
UACAGAGGGGGCAAGCGUUAUUCGGAAUUAUUGGGCGUAAAGGGCGCGUAGGCGGCCAUUCAAGCGACGGGUGAAAGCCCUCGGCUUAACCGAGGAACUGCCUGUCAGACUGGAUGGCUUGAGACCGGGAGAGGUGAGUGGAAUUCCCAGUGUAGCGGUGAAAUGCGUAGAUAUUGGGAGGAACACCAGUGGCGAAGGCGGCUCACUGGACCGGAACUGACGCUGAGGCGCGAAAGCGUGGGGAGCAAACAGG